CUGACUCUUCGCGACCCCAGAGACUGCAGCCUACCAGGCUCCUCUGCCCAUGGGAUUUUCCAGGCAAAAAGUACUGGAGUGGGCUGCCAUUGCCUACACAUGGGUGAACCUUAAAAAUAAUGUGCUAAGUGAAAUAAGUUGGACACAAAAGGACAAAUAAUUCAUGAUUCCACUUAUGUGAGGUACCUAGAGUAAUUAAAUUCAUAGAUACAGAGUGUAGAACAGAGGUUUCUAGAGGCUGUGGAGAGAAGCGAGGAGAAUUUAUUAUUUAAUGGUUAAUGUUUAAGAGUUUCUGUUUGGGGUGAUGGAUAGUUUUGGAAAUAGAUAGUAGUGACGGUUGCACAGUGUUAUGAAUAUAAUUAGUGGCAUUGAACUGUACACUUAAGAAACUGUUAGAAAGGCUAAUUUUAUAUGUUUCACCACAAUUAAAAAAAUUGUUUUAAAUACUGAAUUACUUAUAAGACAACCUCUUUUUCUACUCUCUUUCCUGCCCCUAAUACAACUCAUUCUUAAUUUCUUUUCAGGUUUUGAGUCCUUCUGCUUUUUAAAAAAUCCCUGAUUACUGUUUUAUCUAGGAAUUCUCCUUUUCAGAGGCCCAUAACAAAGUGUUCAGCAUGCCAGGCAUGUUUUACAUGCUGUCCUGGAGGCUGGCAGCACAAUAACCAUUCCUCUCUGUUAUGUUAGGCUUUUUAAGAAUAUAAAUGGGUCCAGGUCACAGAAUUUUAUGGCUGGGUUGAAUAUUUUCCUUCUCCCCCACUUUGACAUCUUGACAGGAAUGAAAGUUUAAAGAAGAUACAGAAAAAUGGAUAGUGAAAGCCUGUAUCCUAUCACUCAGAUAUCACACAAGGACAAGAAAAAAGAGAAUUGCAAAGUACUAUACCAACAGAUGGAGAAGGAAAUGGCAACCCAUUCCAGCAUUCUUGUCUGGGAAAUCCCAUGGACAGAGGAACCUGGUGGGCUACAGUCCAUGGAGUUGGAAGAGCUGGACACGAUUGAAUGACUAAAUCACCGCCAUGCAGACAUAAACCACCUCCACCGUGCAGACAGAAGCAGCUGUCAAAGUAGAAAGAUUAAUCGCAUGGGAUCUGCUGUGAGACUAUUUGGGUUUAAAUUCUGGUGCUCCUCACUUACUAUACAACCUUGGCCAAGUUCUGUAACUUGUCUAUGCCUUAGCUUCCUUGUCUAUAAAAUGAAUUUUAGUAACAUUAUUUAUCUUUUUCUUUAUUUUUUUUACUGAAGUAUAGUUGAUUUACACUGUUGUGCUAAUUUCUGCUGUUCAGCAAAAUGACUCAGUUAUACACGUAUAUACAUUCUUUUUUCAUAUUCUUUUCCAUUAUGGUCUAUCCCAGGAGAUUGGAUAUGGUUUCCUAUGCUAUACAGUAGGACCUUGCUGUUUAUCCAUCUAAAUGUAAUAGUUUGCCUCUACCAACCCCAAACUCUCAUUCCAUCCCUCUCCCUCACCCUCUCUGCUUUGGCAACCACAAAUCUGUUCUCUGUGUCUGUGAGUCUGCUUCUGUUUUGUAGAUAAGUUCAUUUGUGCUACAUUUUAGAUUCCACAUAUAAGCAAUAUCACAUGGCAUUUGUCUUUCUCUUUCUGAUUUACUUCACAUAGUAUGAUAAUCUCUAGUUGUAUCCAUGUUGCUGCAAAUGGCAUUAUUUCAUUCUUUUUUUUUAUCGCUGAGUAGAAUUCCGUUGUAUAUACGUACCACACCUUUUUUAUCCAUUUAUCUGCCAAUGGAUAUUUAGGUCAUUUCCAUGUCUUGGCUAUUGUGAGUAGAGCUGCUGUGAAUAUAGGGGUGCAUGUAUCUUUUUACAUUAUAGUUUUGUCCAGGUUUAUGCUUAGGAAUGGGAUUGCUGGAUCUUACAGUAAUUCUGUUUUCUAUAGAACUUCCAUUCUGUUUUCCAUAGUGGCUGCACCAACUUACUUUCCCACCAAUGGUGUAGGAGGAUUCCCUUUUCUUCACACACUCUCUAGUAUUUGUUAUUUGUAGACUUUUUAA
rnacentral:lncRNA from 1 species